rnacentral:rRNA from 1 species
UACCAUGGUGGUAACGGGUAACGGGGUGUUAGGGCACGACACCGGAGAGGGAGCCUGAGAAACGGCUACCACAUCCAAGGAUGGCAGCAGGCGCGCAAAUUACCCAAUCCCGACACGGGGAGGUAGUGACAAUAAAUAACAAUACGGGGUUCCUUAGGAUCUCGUAAUUGGAAUGAGUACAAUUUAAAUCUCUUAACGAGGAACAAUUGGAGGGCAAGUCUGGUGCCAGCAGCCGCGGUAAUUCCAGCUCCGAUAGCGUAUAUUAAAGUUGUUGCAGUUAAAAAGCUCGUAGUUGAAUUUCGGGGUCAGUAGGUCGGUCGUGCCACUGGUAUGAACUGGUUUUACUGAUUCCUCCCUCUUGAAGAACUGUAAUGCCAUUAAUUUGGUGUUGCAGGGAAUCAGGACUGUUACUUUGAAAAAAUUAGAGUGUUUAAAGCAGGCUUUAGCUUGAAUACAUUAGCAUGGAAUAAUGAAAUAGGACGUUUGAUCCUAUUUUGUUGGUUUCUAGGAUUGACGUAAUGAUUAAUAGGGAUAGUUGGGGGCAUUAGUAUUCAAUUGUCAGAGGUGAAAUUCUUGGAUUUAUUGAAGACUAACUUCUGCGAAAGCAUUUGCCAAGGAUGUUUUCAUUAAUCAAGAACGAAAGUUAGGGGAUCGAAGACGAUCAGAUACCGUCGUAGUCUUAACCAUAAACUAUGCCGACUAGGGAUCGGAUGAUGUUAAUUUUUUAAUGACUCAUUCGGCGCCUUACGGGAAACCAAAGUGUUU